AGUACGGCCGCAAGGUUAAAACUCAAAUGAAUUGACGGGGGCCCGCACAAGCGGUGGAGCAUGUGGUUUAAUUCGAUGCAACGCGAAGAACCUUACCUGGUCUUGACAUCCACGGAAGUUUUCAGAGAUGAGAAUGUGCCUUCGGGAACCGUGAGACAGGUGCUGCAUGGCUGUCGUCAGCUCGUGUUGUGAAAUGUUGGGUUAAGUCCCGCAACGAGCGCAACCCUUAUCCUUUGUUGCCAGCGGUCCGGCCGGGAACUCAAAGGAGACCGCCAGUGAUAAACUGGAGGAAGGUGGGGAUGACGUCAAGUCAUCAUGGCCCUUACGACCAGGGCUACACACGUGCUACAAUGGCGCAUACAAAGAGAAGCGACCUCGCGAGAGCAAGCGGGCCUCAUAAAGUGCGUCGUAGUCCGGAUUGGAGUCUGCAACUCGACUCCAUGAAGUCGGAAUCGCUAGUAAUCGUGGAUCAGUAUGCCACGGUGAAUACGUUCCCGGGCCUUGUACACACCGCCCGUCACACCAUGGGAGUGGGUUGCAAAAGAAGUAGGUAGCUUAACCUUCGGGAGGGCGCUUACCACUUUGUGAUUCAUGACUGGGGUGAAGUCGUAACAAGGUAACC
rnacentral:rRNA from 1 species